ensembl:lncRNA
GGAGAUCUCUGUGUACCUGAGGUCUUCUAAAGAGUUACAGAAGCUUUCAUGUAUACUGGAAGAAAUAUUCAGUGUUUGUAGUCCAACAGUUUGCCCUCAGGCACUGGGAAGACAAGGCUGUAUGAAGAAGACUCGUGUCUGUGUGUGACUGUAGCAAUCAGGACUUCAUCUGCUGGGUGGAAUUCAGCGUUUGUGCCUUGCGUGUGUUGCAGAGCAGCUUUCCUUCUCCUCUCAGCCUUUGCUGCUUUUUAAUGCUCCAGUCUCUUGGGGAUAUGAAACUUCUUCAUCAGACUUAUAAGGCUUAUUUGUUUUAUUUCAUGAAUUGUCUGAGGCUAGAAUGCAACACCCUGUCCUUUCUUGCACUGGCAUUUGAACUCCGUGCUAUGUGAGGAAACAUGGGAGAGGCUACAGCAUCUGAAGUCUGUGCAC